rnacentral:lncRNA from 1 species
UUCUUUUCCCCUCUUGUUUUCUUGUUGUCUUUUCUUGACCAGCCUUUUGUGAAUGCUGGGGAUUUUAUUGCUUCCUGCUGGAGAUUCCUGUUGUAUUCCUCUGCUUCAUUGAUUCUAAGUGUGCUCCUUUCUCAUAUGAGUGGGCUUCUGACUUCAAUACUUCAAUUGUAUUCCCUUAUUCUCCAGGUGGACGCCUGAUUUCUAUUUUUCUUUGUCCUUGUUCUCCAGGUGGACGCCUGAUUUCUUUCUUCCUUUGUCCUUAUUCUCCAGGUGGACGCCUGAUUUCUAUUUUUCUUUGUCCUCGUUCUCCAGGUGGACG